CUGGAGGUAUCAGAAGUGCGAAUGCUGACAUAAGUAACGAUAAAGCGGGUGAAAAGCCCGCUCGCCGGAAGACCAAGGGUUCCUGUCCAACGUUAAUCGGGGCAGGGUGAGUCGACCCCUAAGGCGAGGCCGAAAGGCGUAGUCGAUGGGAAACGGGUUAAUAUUCCCGUACUUGGUGUUACUGCGAAGGGGGGACGGAGAAGGCUAUGUUGGCCGGGCGACGGUUGUCCCGGUUUAAGCGUGUAGGUGUGUGUUCCAGGUAAAUCCGGUUCACUUUAACACUGAGGCGUGACGACGAGGCACUACGGUGCUGAAGCAACAAAUGCCCUGCUUCCAGGAAAAGCCUCUAAGCAUCAGGUAACAUCAAAUCGUACCCCAAACCGACACAGGUGGUCAGGUAGAGAAUACCAAGGCGCUUGAGAGAACUCGGGUGAAGGAACUAGGCAAAAUGGUGCCGUAACUUCGGGAGAAGGCACGCUGACACGUAGGUGAAGUGAUUUACUCAUGGAGCUGAAGUCAGUCGAAGAUACCAGCUGGCUGCAACUGUUUAUUAAAAACACAGCACUGUGCAAACACGAAAGUGGACGUAUACGGUGUGACGCCUGCCCGGUGCCGGAAGGUUAAUUGAUGGGGUCAGCGCAAGCGAAGCUCCUGAUCGAAGCCCCGGUAAACGGCGGCCGUAACUAUAACGGUCCUAAGGUAGCGAAAUUCCUUGUCGGGUAAGUUCCGACCUGCACGAAUGGCGUAAUGAUGGCCAGGCUGUCUCCACCCGAGACUCAGUGAAAUUGAACUCGCUGUGAAGAUGCAGUGUACCCGCGGCAAGACGGAAAGACCCCGUGAACCUUUACUAUAGCUUGACACUGAACAUUGAGCCUUGAUGUGUAGGAUAGGUGGGAGGCUUUGAAGCGUGGACGCCAGUCUGCGUGGAGCCAACCUUGAAAUACCACCCUUUAAUGUUUGAUGUUCUAACGUGGACCCGUAAUCCGGGUUGCGGACAGUGUCUGGUGGGUAGUUUGACUGGGGCGGUCUCCUCCUAAAGAGUAACGGAGGAGCACGAAGGUUGGCUAAUCCUGGUCGGACAUCAGGAGGUUAGUGCAAUGGCAUAAGCCAGCUUGACUGCGAGCGUGACGGCGCGAGCAGGUGCGAAAGCAGGUCAUAGUGAUCCGGUGGUUCUGAAUGGAAGGGCCAUCGCUCAACGGAUAAAAGGUACUCCGGGGAUAACAGGCUGAUACCGCCCAAGAGUUCAUAUCGACGGCGGUGUUUGGCACCUCGAUGUCGGCUCAUCACAUCCUGGGGCUGAAGUAGGUCCCAAGGGUAUGGCUGUUCGCCAUUUAAAGUGGUACGCGAGCUGGGUUUAGAACGUCGUGAGACAGUUCGGUCCCUAUCUGCCGUGGGCGCUGGAGAACUGAGGGGGGCUGCUCCUAGUACGAGAGGACCGGAGUGGACGCAUCACUGGUGUUCGGGUUGUCAUGCCAAUGGCACUGCCCGGUAGCUAAAUGCGGAAGAGAUAAGUGCUGAAAGCAUCUAAGCACGAAACUUGCCCCGA
rnacentral:rRNA from 1 species